UGAGGAAUAUUCCGCAAUGGGGGAAACCCUGACGGAGCAAUGCCGCGUGAGUGAAGAAGGCCUUUGGGUCGUAAAACUCUGUCUUGAGGGACGAAAAAAAUGACGGUACCUCAAAAGAAAGCCCCGGCUAACUACGUGCCAGCAGCCGCGGUAAAACGUAGGGGGCGAGCGUUGUCCGGAAUUACUGGGCGUAAAGGGCGUGCAGGCGGCCUGUGUAGUCAAGCGGUGAAAACCCGGGGCUUAACUUCGGGAUGGCCCUUGAAACCAACAGGCUUGAGGACAGGAGAGGGGAGUGGAAUUUCCGGUGUAGCGGUGAAAUGCGUAGAUACCGGAAGGAACACCAGUGGCGAAGGCGGCUCCCUGGACUGGUCCUGACGCUGAGGCGCGAAAGCGUGGGGAGCAAACAGGAUUAGAUACCCUGGUAGUCCACGCCGUAAACGAUGGGUGCUAGGGAAGCGGGUAU
rnacentral:rRNA from 1 species